GAUGAAGAACGCAGCGAAAUGCGAUAAGUAGUGUGAAUUGCAGAAUUCAGUGAAUCAUCGAAUCUUUGAACGCACAUUGCGCCCCUUGGUAUUCCAUGGGACAUGCCUGUUCGAGCGUCAUUUGUACCUUCAAGCUCUGCUUGGUGUUGGGUGUUUGUCUCGCCUCUGCGUGUAGACUCGCCUUAAAACAAUUGGCAGCCGGCGUAUUGAUUUCGGAGCGCAGUACAUCUCGCGCUUUGCACUCAUAACGACGACGUCCAAAAGUACAUUUUUACACUCUUGACCUCGGAUCAGGUAGGGAUACCCGCUGAACUUAAGCAUAUCAAUAAGCGGAGGA
rnacentral:misc_RNA from 1 species